AUUCCAUUCGGCAGAUAUUGAAAAACGAAAUUGCAAAAAGUGCAAGAACUUACACGGUAACAGAAAGAAAAUAGACUCAAAAGAGCUGAAGAGUUUCUUCGCUUGGCUGAUAAAACAUUCGUUGUCCAGCAGUUUGUAAACAAACAAAAUGAUCGUGUUUUCUUGCCAAAAGGUCAGCUGAAAAUGUGCAGCUUCGGUUAGCCACCAGAACUCAUGGUGAUGGUUUGGGCCGCCAUAACAGCCGAUGGUCGCUCUCCGCUCGUAUUAAUCGACCGUGGCAUCAUAAUAAAUACCGAAUAUUAUAGCGAAAA